AGAGUUUGAUCAUGGCUCAGAUUGAACGCUGGCGGCAUGCCUUACACAUGCAAGUCGAACGGUAACAGGUCUUCGGAUGCUGACGAGUGGCGAACGGGUGAGUAAUACAUCGGAACGUGCCCAGUAAUGGGGGAUAGCUCGGCGAAAGCCGGAUUAAUACCGCAUACGCCCUGAGGGGGAAAGUGGGGGACCGCAAGGCCUCACGUUAUUGGAGCGGCCGAUGGCUGAUUAGCUAGUUGGUAGGGUAAAGGCCUACCAAGGCGACGAUCAGUAGCUGGUCUGAGAGGACGAUCAGCCACACUGGGACUGAGACACGGCCCAGACUCCUACGGGAGGCAGCAGUGGGGAAUUUUGGACAAUGGGCGAAAGCCUGAUCCAGCAAUGCCGCGUGUGCGAAGAAGGCCUUCGGGUUGUAAAGCACUUUUGUCAGGGAAGAAAUCCUUUGGGCUAAUACCCUAGGGGGAUGACGGUACCUGAAGAAUAAGCACCGGCUAACUACGUGCCAGCAGCCGCGGUAAUACGUAGGGUGCAAGCGUUAAUCGGAAUUACUGGGCGUAAAGCGUGCGCAGGCGGUUGUGUAAGACAGGUGUGAAAUCCCCGGGCUUAACCUGGGAAUUGCAUUUGUGACUGCACGACUAGAGUGUGUCAGAGGGGGGUGGAAUUCCACGUGUAGCAGUGAAAUGCGUAAAUAUGUGGAGGAACACCAAUGGCGGAGGCAGCCCCCUGGGAUAACACUGACGUUCAUGCACGAAAGCGUGGGGAGCAAACAGGAUUAGAUACCCUGGUAGUCC
rnacentral:rRNA from 1 species